CUGGGUCGUCCAAUCAGGUUGCAACAGUAACUCUCAAGUCCCACUUUUCACCACAGCCGUCGGAUACGAUAAUUGUUUUCUCACUUUAUGAUCUUCCGAACAAGUCAAUGACGUAUGGGACCAGCUACCCGUGGGGGCCGCCGGUCGGAGGCAGCCACGCUCGCUCGUCCGCGUCUGUCCGCCAGAGGUGAGAGAAUCUAGAUCGAAGGAGCUCCCCAAUCCUGGCCUCGCUCCUCGCUCCCCAAUCCCCGUCCCUCUUUUCCCCAAACCGCCAGAGGUGAGAGAAUCUCCUGCAGUGAGCUCCGAUGGAGGCGGCGACCAGCGGGUGGAGGUGAGGCGGGAGCGGCCGGAGACGGGAUCGCGCGGGGCGGAUCCACGGCGGCGACUGGAGGCUCCGGACACGGCCGGAGACGGGCCGGCGCGGGGUGGAUCUGCUCCGGCGACGACCGGAGGCGACGUGCUCGCGCGGGGCGGAUCCGCCACACUUUGGCUCACGCGACUCGGCGGUCAGUGGCAGCCAGGCACGCUCGUUCGUGGUCACCAUGCUUCCCCAAUCCCCAUCCUCUCUUCCUGCCCAAUCCCGUCCUCCUCUCCUCUCCCUAAUCAGCCGCCUCCUCCCCUGCCGUUCCUCCAAUCCCAGACCAACGCCUCUCUCUCCCCUUUGGCGGGCUCAGCGCAGCGGCGGGUGAUGCGGGGCAGCUCAGCGCGGCGGCUCAGUGCGGCGGUGGUGGCUGACGCGCUCUGCCGCUGCUGCAUCUCCUUAGGCACGGACGGAUAUCUUGAUGCGCCAGCUGCAACAAGUUGCCCUUGAGUAUGGACAGGUUGAGGAAUGGUGUUGAUUUGAUGAUUUCUGCGUGGGCUCGUUCGUGAAGGAUGCCAAUGUUGAAAAGUGCUAAUGCGGAUAUACAUUUCAUUCCAAAAACUGAGGGCUGAUUCAAUUCCAAACAUGCAGUCAAUUAUUUCUGCUUCAGAUGCCUAUACUGUUUAAUUCUCCUUCCCACAUGCAAUGGUGGCUCAUGGAGAUCUGGGUGCUAAACUUGCAGUUGAGGAAGUACCUUUACUACAGGGAAACAACAGAAGACCGUUCAGCCUCAUUCUACACUUCAAUUGCAAAGGUUUUGUAAUGUAUGUGUCUAUGACAUAUUGACCUUCUAAGGAGUUGCUUUCUGGAUUUGCUCGCUGCUCUAUGAAUCUAUUAUUUUAAGAAAUGAUGCCGGCCGCUCCUCCCCUCCGUCGUCCCUCUUCACCUGCUGGGUCCUCGCGGCUGGACGUCGUGGCCGUACUGGUGGAGCCGUCCAGCGACGUCGCCGGCGCCGUGAUGUUGACCACUGCAGCAGCCUGAGAAGAGAGGCCGGAUGCACUGGUGAUGGUCGCCACUCUCCGGCUGCAGGCGAGGCGACAUGCUGCUGCACUCCACCUCCCCAACGAGCUGCUGCCUGUGAGGUUCAAAUCAUGUCGGGGGAGGAGGAGCCCAAGGGCGCGAGGUGUGGUUACCGGGAGACUGCCUCGUGUGGUGUUCCGGUGUUUGUGGUGCCCUCCGGUGGUGAUGUCCACCGGAGCUCCUGACGGCAACGGUGAUGCCAUGAACGGGCUGCUGCUGGUUGAACCGCUGCCACGACAAGGAGGAUCAAGCUCAUCUCCUGAAGUCAGUUGUGCCUGUAGAGCCAUGUAUAGCUGCUGCUUGUUCUUCCUAUAAAUGUCCCAAGACUACCCGGCCAACCAGGGCACCCAAAAGGGGCAAAAAGAUCUGGUUCGUUCGUUCCACCCUGUACAAGUAUAAGGAAACUUAAAUUAUAUCGAGAGGUUUAUAGGUUGGAUGCGCACUGACUUCUGAAACUCAUUAAUCUAGACACCUUGGUUCUGGAGCUUUUGUGAUGAAUGACAAAUGAGGUUUUGAUCGUUCGAUCAUGCUGGUAGUAGGCCAUUGCCCCUUCAAGCCAGCAAGAUGCUUGUUGUACGUCGAUGAAUAAGGGCGUCCAUCCAAGAUACCAAGGACUGCCCUCUUGUUUCUAUCCUUAAAAGCUGCUGCGCUACCCGGCCAACCGAGGCCUCCCAAGGGGCACAUUGAUCUGGCUCGUUCGUUUUGCCCAACGACAGUAAAUUCGUUCCCCACUUUUCAUCACAACCGCUCAAUACGGUAAAAAAAAAAAAAUUAACCCGCUACUGCUCAUUUUGAGCCCCUGUAUGAUGGGCCCGUGGGCGUGCGGGGCAGCCAGCCAGAGACAGCGACACCAGCGACACCAGCUCGCUCACGUCGCCUUCCUUUCUGUGUGCGCGUGGGGGCAGGAGGUGGUGAAAACCUAGAUCGGCGCGGAGGGUGGCGGCAGCGCACCGCCUUGCGCCGCCUCUCCCCGAGAUGGAGCCAUUCGGGGAUGGCCAUGGUGGUAAGCUGGAGGAGGCGAUACGGGAGGAGGAGGGUGCGGACCUUUUUCCCCAACGCAUGCAGUGGCGCCCGAGCAACGGGGGCGUUGACGCCGGCGGCUGGACGCGGCAGCGUUGGGGACGGACGAUGCAUCAACGCGGAGCAGCAGCAUGCUCUGGAUGCGAGCUCGUCCGUUUCCUGUGACGCCAUGCUGCUGGCCAAGCAGGGCAAUUUGUGAGAUGACUGAAUGCUCCUGGAAGAAAACGAGGACAAUAGCAUCACUCCCACAUGUGAACUCCAUGCUCAUCGCUUGUUAAUUUCCUCGAGAAAAUGAUGAGAUGCAUGUUGUUCAACUUGUGUAGAUUUCUCUGAAAAUAUAUGGAGAAGUUAAAUAUGACGAGGAUUCUGAUCAGAUAUGAAUUGGUACUGGGCUGGAUGCUGAAGCACUUAAUUACCGUAUGGAGACUAGCUCAAGAGACAGAAGAUGUACCUCAAAGAAUCUGUCCCAAAAACUAACAAAGUUGCUUGAAGAAUUUCUGGUUCAUGGCACCUUCAUGAUAGUGCUAUUAUCUGGUUGAAAUAUCUGGUAGACUAUUGGGUAAUCUUGUCCCAGAAAGUUGUUUUUUAUACACUAUUAGCAUUGAAAUUAAACUUGAUAUUUGAUGAAAUGUUACCAUGACUGGAUGUUUGAUGCAAAAGUAGACUAGGGUACCAUCAGGUUUGCCAAUAAUGUUUCUGAUGCUGAUCAGCGCCUGCCAUGAUGGUGCUCGUUUCGGUGUGUGGUGGCGGGUCUGCUCGGCAAAAGUUGGACGUCCUACUCCGGCAGAGGCCGCAGCAGCUGGUGGAUGGCGAAGGCCGCAACAGCUCGACUCCUCCUCUUUUCUCUCCCGCCAAGAAGAAGCACCAGACAGCUGGGGAGGUUCUAGACCUUCAUGCAGGUAAAUUGGUGUCAAUUAGCAGCAAUGGACUAGGACAUCAGCUGUGUGCGCUCGAGUACCAGGAAGCAAGCCAAAAGUGUCUGCUCCAAGGUUGCCAGUUGUGAUUCUGGUCACUUUUCAAGCAGAGAAGCAUGAUGAAAAUAGAAUAGUGCCUUUGGAGAUUCAGGUGAAGUUAUAGUUGCAAUAGGAAAAGGGAGAUGGGCCAAUAGCUUUCACUCACUGUCCUCACUAAAGAUCUGUUCACUAGGUUAAAAACUGCAGAUUUUGUUAUGAUGGUCUUACUACGCCGAGAUGCUUGCUCAGAGCUCAUGGAUCACGCACGAAGAAAUGAGGAGGAUUCUGUUGCCCAAAUGUGGUCCGAGUGGGGUGUUAUGAUGGGAUGAUGCUCUUACAGUAUUUUGGGCCAUUGACAUACAACCAGGUUACUACCGUUCCUUGACAAGAUGAACAUAUGAAAGUCUGUUAUAUUUUAUUCCGUUACUAUUAUGAUGAUUCGUUUGUAGUUGUACUACUUCUCAGUUUGCCUUUAACAUGAAAACACUGACUGGUUGCAGUUAACAGAGCUCUCCUAAAAAUUCUACCAGCAUUUCUUUUGUCAUUUCAAUGAUUGUCGUACUACUAUUUUCAGUCUGCUUCAAUCUAUAUGCAUAGUCAGUCGAUUCUGUUUUUUACAUUUGUGCCUGAAAAAUAUGGUGUAAAUCAUCCUCUUGAAAUUCUCUGGGAGAUAUUGAAGCCCUAAAGGUGUAAGCUUACACAAAUAAAGACGGUAAUGACCAGUUACUUAAGUUUGUUGCUUUUGAUUCUUUGCCUAAUAAACAUGCCUGCCAAUGUUAAGACAACUCACGUAGCCAGAAGAUAUUUUGUUUGCUUUCCCCUUCCGUUGCUUCUCUUUAUCUAUCUCCCCUUACUAAGAUCCAGAAGUAUUGUUAAAGAAGAUCCAGAAGCAGACCUUUCUGAAGCCGAGUCAAGUUUGUAUUUGCCUGGCUCGAUGGAUGAAGAACUAUUUGCGGAUCUCCCCACGGCAUCGUGUGCUGCAGCAGGCAUUGGAGACUGUAGGCAUGUCUAUGCUCUGAACAACGACACGCUAUGACGAGGAGAACGAGAUGCUCACUGCUAUUCGCAUCCAUGUUCCUCUGCAUCCGAAUUCCCCGCCUCACAACAAAUCUCUUCUACAGUGACUGGUCUGCAUACCCGAAUGUAUGCACGAAUCAGUAUUAUUACAGAAAAUGAAUUGAAUAGUAUCUCCAUUUCAUCUCAAAAAAAUGUAGAAUAAUACUAAAGAAAGAAAUUUCCCAUCCAUGUAGAUGAAGUACCCCAAUCAGUUUAUAAUGUUUAAGACCAAUUAUUGAACAUUUGUUCUUCAACAUUUGCUUUUGCUUU